rnacentral:lncRNA from 1 species
AUAUGAACCACAUUGUUGUGGUGUUGCACAGGCUGCGUGGAGCGUUGUCGCCCCAACUGGCGUGGUGGCCGGCCUGCCGGAGUGCCUUUCCUGGCGCCCCUGUUCACCACCAGCACCACCUCACCCCUGGUGACACCGGUUGCCACUGGCACUGCAGCCGAUGGCCCGCUGGACCUGUCUUCCCCGGUGGACACCAAGAAGCUGGUGCCAAAGUGACCUGGCCUAUGUGCAAACAAACACAUGGUGGCAACAUGUGCAAUGACUCCUCGCGAAA